rnacentral:rRNA from 1 species
GAUGAACGCUGGCGGCGUGCCUAAUACAUGCAAGUCGAGCGAACGGACGAGAAGCUUGCUUUUCUGAUGUUAGCGGCGGACGGGUGAGUAACACGUGGAUAACCUACCUAUAAGACUGGGAUAACUUCGGGAAACCGGAGCUAAUACCGGAUAAUAUUUUGAACCGCAUGGUUCAAAAGUGAAAGACGGUCUUGCUGUCACUUAUAGAUGGAUCCGCGCUGCAUUAGCUAGUUGGUAAGGUAACGGCUUACCAAGGCAACGAUGCAUAGCCGACCUGAGAGGGUGAUCGGCCACACUGGAACUGAGACACGGUCCAGACUCCUACGGGAGGCAGCAGUAGGGAAUCUUCCGCAAUGGGCGAAAGCCUGACGGAGCAACGCCGCGUGAGUGAUGAAGGUCUUCGGAUCGUAAAACUCUGUUAUUAGGGAAGAACAUAUGUGUAAGUAACUGUGCACAUCUUGACGGUACCUAAGAAGAAAGCCACGGCUAACUACGU